rnacentral:rRNA from 1 species
CCUACGGGAGGCAGCAGUGGGGAAUAUUGCACAAUGGGCGCAAGCCUGAUGCAGCCAUGCCGCGUGUAUGAAGAAGGCCUUCGGGUUGUAAAGUACUUUCAGCGGGGAGGAAGGUGUUGUGGUUAAUAACCGCAGCAAUGACGUAACCCUGAAGAAAGAAGAAG